UUGAAAGGGAAACGAUUGAAGUCAGUCGUACCUAUGGGUAAUCAGCCUUUUGGGUGUGAUUUUGUGGAGCGUGGGGAGUUAAACGCCUUCAUGCCUGCAUAUUCGUGCACUUUGGGUGUACUUGCCCGUGUGUAAGUUAACAUCAAUUUUGGUGGUCAUAAAAUGGCUGGAGGAAUGUAGCUUCGAUCUUGUAUUGAAGUGUUAUAGCCUUCGGUAGAUGUGACGAUCGGGAUUGAGGAUUGCAACGGAUACCCUUCGGGGCUACCUGUCUGAUCUCUGAUUGUUGCUCUGGUGCCGAAAGCUUGCUUACGGUUAUCAAAGUCGAUGGUCAAUAGGUUAGAACG
rnacentral:rRNA from 1 species